AAACCUGAACCGCCGCCACCACACAAACCACUCGCCCCACAAACCACCAGAAGCCGAGGCACAAGCCACGGACGGAGAAACCUCCCUCCCCCAGUCUACGGACGGAGAAGCGGUCCCCACCCGCCGCCCAGACGACAACGGCCAAAGAAGAAGGAGACGUAGUUAAAGAACGCUCCCUACAAGACCCCACGCAGACUACCAACCAAACGCAAAGGCAGCAGGAAGAAGAAGACAGCCGAACCACCAAACACUAAAGACAUCAAGAAAAAAUCGCAACGACAACAUGUCCAUUUACUGAGGCCACGCACCCCUAUGUACCGCCAGCGAUACGCGUGACGUGUUCCCUACGACCUACGGAGACAAGCACCACGUUUCGUCACAACAGAAAGAUUUUUCCCGUACAAAGUAGUCGUCGAAACGAUUUCUGUAUACAUCUGCAACAACUACACACGUUCCUCGCACCGGUCGGGGUCCGUACACGCAACCAACAAACCCUGGGACGCACCUCACGAUACGAACCACUACAUGUCUUAUGUCAGUUCUUUUUGACGUUUUCACAUGUAGAUGACAACUAAAUACGUAUAUCGACUAUAAUAGUCUGUAUCCGGAAGAAAUAAUAGUACUAGAUACGUAGUACCGAUGCACGUAGAGAGUAAAUCAACCAAGGAAAAACCAUCCAGAGUUACGCUAAGUUAAGUCAUUUUGUUUACACGAGAUGCUGUAACAAAGGUACGCUGUCUUGUUGUAAGUUCUCCUAGCCUCGACCUGACGACUAUCCAUAAAUAUGCUAAGAAGUCUAAUACAAUGGGAAACUAUACUAGGAGGUACCUCGCUUUAAAUAGAGGUAUCCAGUGUUUUUCGUCUAAACUAACCAAGAUUACUCCAACGACGAUACUCACCAGAGAAGUUUCCAUUCACAACACUAAAACACCGCCUACAAACGUCCUGACUUCCUCCAAACUACUUAGCUAAGGAAUGUAAUUUUUUACAACUGAAUAAUGAUAGUGCGAAAAUUAACUAGAUAAAAUCGUAUCCUUCCAAGUAGACAAAAACGUUCUUUCCAAGUAACCAACGAGUACCAAAACAUACCAACCCGAGCGAGUUCGUUAUCCUUCGUGUAACAGAACCAUCACUUAGGGUGUCAACAGUCGUUACUAAAUGUUGUCCGAUAGCAGCUUGGGUUUUUUCAUCACAUUCCUACGGUCCAACUACUAAAAGACGGUAUUUAUCUGUGAGAAGGGAGAUCUGGUAGAGUCCUAACUUAUUUACAAGCGAUACAAAAGACUCCUUAUUUACUGUAGGGAUAACGCGAAGAAGAGUAUACACAAAGGAAAUAAUAAUGUCAUCAGACAAUCAUACCUUUGCUAAACAACAAACCAAAUAGAAUUAUGAGGGAGGCAGGCCUUUAUGAGCAGCCUCCUUACCUACAUAGAUCUACAUAAAAUCAAGAUCUAUGUAAGUAAAAAUACGUAAAAAGGCUGUUCAUAAAGACCUGCCUCCCUCAUAUUCUCUUGCACCAACGGUUAAGAAAAUUUCUUACCUGUUAGCACCACGCGAAUACUCAACGCUAUAUACCAUUUUACACAUAGGAGACAUUGUUUCAUAAUACACAUCAAACGGGAAAAAAAGGCUGGCGAGACAACACGUUUGUUUUACGUCGAUCUUCUCUUUACGAACUGUACCAAUCGCUCCAAGCGGAUAGCUCAACCCGCUGUACAAGAAACCGUAAACGUUCCCGGUCGGCUUAACGGAAAAUAAAAAAAUAAAACUCCAAGUUGCGUAGUGCGCUACGUUAAUGUGUGCGUUGCUGCCUCAAAUAGAAGAAGAAAAAAAGUCUUAGAGUCCUCUGUGUUAGUUAGCGGUUUGGCAGCUGUUGGUUACCGUCGGGUGGACUAACU
rnacentral:rRNA from 1 species